rnacentral:rRNA from 1 species
GACGAACGCUGGCGGCGUGCUUAACACAUGCAAGUCGAACGGAAAGGCCCUGCUUUUGUGGGGUGCUCGAGUGGCGAACGGGUGAGUAACACGUGAGUAACCUGCCCUUGACUUUGGGAUAACUUCAGGAAACUGGGGCUAAUACCGGAUAGGAGCUCCUGCUGCAUGGUGGGGGUUGGAAAGUUUCGGCGGUUGGGGAUGGACUCGCGGCUUAUCAGCUUGUUGGUGGGGUAGUGGCUUACCAAGGCUUUGACGGGUAGCCGGCCUGAGAGGGUGACCGGCCCAUGGGGGCUGUGCGUCGGCCCCGGCCCCAUCGGGGGGCAGGGGGGGGGAAUGUUGCAAGAGGGGGCGGGGGCUUGAUGCAGCACCCCCGGGUGGGGGAUGCCGCCUUUCGGGUUGAAACCCAUUUGCACCUGGAAGAACGGUGGAUGGCGGUUACUGGUAAGAGAGCCACCGCCAACCUCCUG